AAUGGUGCUUCUCAGAAAGGAGAGGAGGAACUUCAUUGUUUCCUCUCGGGAGCACUUUUUCUCCUGGUGGUGGCUCGUCUCUCCACUUGUUCACCUUUUCUGAGGGCAGGUGGGUCUCCUCGGCUCCUCCCUGCUCAUGCUCCAGGCUGGUCUGGGUCCGUGAGCGCAUGUGCCAGAUGACGUCACUGUCUCACGUGGGCCGGAAAGGGCUUUGUCGGAAGGAAAUGGGGCGCUGGCCGGGGACAUACCAGAGGCUCCAGGAGCAGAGGGAUACAGGCAGAAAGUCCCACUGAUGUAGCUAUUCCUUCAACACGGAAGGAGUGGGUGUGGACUCCGCUGCUGUGGUCCUGGACUGAGUGUCCCCACAACACGUUCAUCGCGGGCAGACUCGGAAGACCGUCUCUGUUCCAGGAGAAGCCAUGUCACUGAAGAGAGAAUGGAGGUCAGGCAGGAUUUGUCCCCUCAGGACUGGCCAAUGGGACAGGACUGACUGGGCAAAACACCCCGGUGAGGCGGCCUGUUCACAAGCUCUCUGUGAGUAGCAGGAUGAUUGCAGGUUGGUGGGAAGAGGAUGAUCAGGGAUGGAGGGGAGUUGGCCGAUGAUGGUGGGAACCCACUCGGGAAGCAGGGAGCACAAUGUCUUCUCCAUGCCACUGCCUCUGACCCCUGGCGUGUGGCUCUGUGAGGUGAGCUCCAGGA